AACGAACGCUGGCGGCAUGCCUAACACAUGCAAGUCGAACGAGGCCUUCGGGUCUAGUGGCGCACGGGUGCGUAACGCGUGGGAACCUGCCCUUAGGUUCGGAAUAACUCCCCGAAAGGGGUGCUAAUACCGGAUAAUGUCCUCGGACCAAAGAUUUAUCGCCUUUGGAUGGGCCCGCGUUGGAUUAGCUAGUUGGUAGGGUAAAAGCCUACCAAGGCGACGAUCCAUAGCUGGUCUGAGAGGAUGAUCAGCCACACUGGGACUGAGACACGGCCCAGACUCCUACGGGAGGCAGCAGUGGGGAAUAUUGGACAAUGGGCGAAAGCCUGAUCCAGCAAUGCCGCGUGAGUGAUGAAGGCCUUAGGGUUGUAAAGCUCUUUUACCCGGGAUGAUAAUGACAGUACCGGGAGAAUAAGCUCCGGCUAACUCCGUG
rnacentral:rRNA from 1 species